AGCUCUAAUAGCGUAUAUUAAAGUUGUUGCAGUUAAAAAGCUCGUAGUCGGAUGUCGGGCUCGGGGAGGCUGUCGGCCUUUGGUCGGAUGGCAUCUCCGGGCCUUUCUGCCUGGGGAUCCUAUUCUACUUAACUGUAGGGUAGUGGGACGCAGGCCGUUUACUUUGAAAAAAUUAGAGUGUUCAAAGCAGGCCUACGCUUGAAUACAUUAGCAUGGAAUAAUGGAAUAGGACUUUGGUGCUAUUUUGUUGGUUUAUGGGACCGAAGUAAUGAUUAACAGGGACAGUUGGGGCCGUUUAUAUUUCGUUGUCAGAGGUGAAAUUCUUGGAUUUACGAAAGAUAAACUUCUGCGAAAGCAUUCGGCAAGGAUGUUUUCAUUA
rnacentral:rRNA from 1 species